CCAGAAGUAGUUUAAUUAGAAUACCA
rnacentral:tRNA from 1 species